GGAGGAGGCGGGGAGAGGGCGGGGCGAGAACAAACCCGACCUCCUCGCCCCGCCCCCUCUGUCCCGCCCGGGCUGCUCGCCCCGCCCCGGCUGCUCGCCCCGCCCCCGCGCGGCGCUGGGAGGCGGGAGCUGUUUCUGAGAACCUGCGGGAGAGCUCCCGGGCUUGCUGCUGCCCGGACCCGCGCGUCUCUCGAGCACCCUCGUCCCACCACCUUGUGAGGCCGUAGUGUUAUUUUUAUUUUUUAGAUCAGCAGACUGAGACUCGAGGUGACGUCACUCCGCAGAGAGGUUAGCUGACUUGAAGAAAACGGAUAUCUCCUCUUUCCAUUUCGCCCGUGUAAACAGCCGAACUGCCUAUUAUAAAAGCAUGGACUGCCAGCAUUGGAGUGGUCCUUAGAGGCCUAUUAUGAAAUCAUAGAAUGUCUGCACUGGAAUCGCCUCACCUCCUUUUACCGCUGGAGAAGCCGACGGACAGACGGGCAGCGACCCCGCCGUCGCACAACCCGUCUAGGCAGAGAGCGCAGGAGACGGGAGGGCGGCAGGGACACAUCUCCCAGCCAAGGACCUCCUGGGCCCGCAGAGGCCGCGACAGGUUCCCCCCACAGAGGGAACCAACUCUGCCGCAGGUUGAUGUGGACUUCAAGCCUGCAGAACGAAGAGCCCAUUUCCAUUGCUUAAAGCCACCUCGUGUGUGGUAUUGGUUAUGGCCCCUGUACACUCCCUUCCCUCCCUCUCCGAAGUCCAGUCCGCAGCUCGCUCAUCACCAGGCUCUUUUCCAUGACUCUUUCUUGAUCAGGCCUUUUUAUCGUCCUCACCACAGGUUAGAGCACAGCAGACUGAGCCACCCAGAACUGGCCCCUCCGGUGGACCAGCCCCUGCGGAUUCACAGACCACUGGGCCUGGAAGGGACCUUGUCAAGCAGGCCCAUAAGGCCAGGACUGCUCAGUGGAUCUAACAUUACACCCUGACAGCCCUGUCCAGCCCAUGGAGCAGAGAGAGAGAGUUCUCAGCGAGGGGAAGCAGGAUGGCCACCUCCCUUCCUUUCCUGAGUUCUUUCCACCCCAGUGUUCAACACCUGUGUUGCGUCUCCUGCCCUGUCAGCAGGAGUCUAGGUAAUCCCUCCCCGGAAAGAGAAGAUCACAGAUUUUGUCGUAUUAAAUACAUUGUAGAAAUUCAUGGUAGCAGGGGCAAGAUCAUUUAAACAAAACAGAAAGUUUCAGAGAGAGAAAAAGCCAAAGACAAAGAUUAAUCAUUUUUCUGCUUAAAAAAAAUGGCUUUGAUUUGCAACCAUGGAAUGCUCCACUGUUUCUCUUCUCUUCAAAGACAUCUACUGAAAGGAUUCCUUAACCUUACCAAGUGGCCAAAAUACUUUUCUGAGAAGAGUCACAGAGCAUAGGCCCCCCUGGGGUACACAGAGAUUUCAUUAGUCCCUAGAUGUUUCCUGAUCCUUUUAAAAACUGGUUAAAUUCAGAGACUCUAGGCAAUUACUUCUUUCAGAACCUGUGAGGCAAAAACGAAAGAAGAAGGCAGGACACGCAGUGUAACAAACCUUGGAAUGGACUUCGCCAGACUUCAUCAGAAGAAAGCAGUGCGAGAGGGGACUGCAGAGGAAAGCUGGGGCUUGGGAAACCAGCAGCAGGGGCCACGUGGGCAGGUGGUUUCUGUGUGAACCUCUGAUCUGUGCAACAUAAACAGGAAAUGUUGAAGGCUUCCAGUGCUCUUUUUUGAUGUCGAGAACAUUCUACGGCACAAAAGGGUUUGCCUCUCACUGUUUCUCAUAUAUGGAGGUUUUCUAAUCAGCAUCCUGAACAGAAUUGAAUUAAAAAUAAAACCAAAGUAAAACUA